GACGAACGCUGGCGGCGUGCUUAACACAUGCAAGUCGAACGGAAAGGCCCUGCUUUUGUGGGGUGCUCGAGUGGCGAACGGGUGAGUAACACGUGAGUAACCUGCCCUUGACUUUGGGAUAACUUCAGGAAACUGGGGCUAAUACCGGAUAGGAGCUCCUGCUGCAUGGUGGGGGUUGGAAAGUUUCGGCGGUUGGGGAUGGACUCGCGGCUUAUCAGCUUGUUGGUGGGGUAGUGGCUUACCAAGGCUUUGACGGGUAGCCGGCCUGAGAGGGUGACCGGCCACAUUGGGACGGGGAUACGGCCCAGAUUCCUACGGGGGGCAGCAGUGGGGAAUAUGGCACAAUGGGCGGAGGCCGGAUGCAGCACCGCGGCGUGGGGGAGGACGGCCUUCGGGUGGUAAACCGCUUUCGCCGGUGACGAGGCGUGAGUGACGGUAAUGGGUAAAGAAGCACCGCCUACCUACGU
rnacentral:rRNA from 1 species